GGCCGUGACGGCCUCGGCGUCCGGGGUCGGCAGCCGCCUUGACUGGCUGCUGCGCUUCGACGACGACGUCGACGCGCGGUACGAGGCCGAGCAUGGCGCC
rnacentral:tRNA from 1 species